rnacentral:sRNA from 1 species
CAGCAUAAGAAGUGAUUGAGCCACAAGUAUACUGAAGGAAGGGCUCCCUCGAGUUGUGGUGUGAAGAGAUAAAUCACCAGUCACAGACUAUGCACCCGACUGCUGCUGUUCAGUCCAGGGAAAAUGAAAGUUGGAGUGCUGUGGCUCAUUUCUUUCUUCACCUUCACUGAUGGCCACGGUGGCUUCCUGGGGGCCCCGUCGAAGAAUAUCAGCUGCUGCUUCAGGUGACCUAUAGAGAUUCCAAGGAGAAAAGAGAUUUGAGAAAUUUUCUGAAGCUCUUGAAGCCUCCAUUAUUAUGGUCACACGGGCUAAUUAGAAUUAUCAGAGCAAAGGCUACCACAUACUGCAACAGCCUGAAUGGAGUCCUGCAGUGUACCUGUGAAGACAGCUACACCUGGUUUCCUCCCUCAUGCCUUGAUCCCCAGAACUGCUACCUUCACACGGCUGGAGCACUCCCAAGCUGUGAAUGUCAUCUCAACAACCUCAGCCAGAGUGUCAAUUUCUGUGAGAGAACAAAGAUUUGGGGCACUUUCAAAAUUAAUGAAAGGUUUACAAAUGACCUUUUGAAUUCAUCUUCUGCUAUAUACUCCAAAUAUGCAAAUGGAAUUGAAAUUCAACUCAAAAAAGCAUAUGAAAGAAUUCAAGGUUUUGAGUCGGUUCAGGUCACCCAAUUUCGAAUGUCACUCUUGUUGCCCAAGUUGGAGUGCAAUGGCACAAUCUAGGCUCACUGCAACCCUGCAACCUCUGCCUACCGGGUUCAAGAGAUUCUCCUGCCUCAGCCUCCCAAGUAGCUGGAAUUACAGGCACCUGCCACCACAUCCAGCUAACUUUUUUUGUAUUUUUAGUAGAGACAGGGUUUCACCAUGUUGGCCACACUGGUCUCGAACUCCUGACCUCAGGUGAUCCGCCUGCCUCGGCCCCCAAAGUGCUGGGAUUACAGGCAUGAGCCACCACAUCUGGCCUAGGACCUUAAAUAUUGGAAAGCAUUCUCAAAACUGUGGGUCAGUGAGUAGAACUACAAAACAACAGCAGUAGGGCAGAAACUUGAAAGAAGGCAGGAGAUCAUGGUGACAGUGCAUGGGAAAAAGUGAGGGUUGGGGAUAAGGGUUGCGGGUUGUCG